rnacentral:lncRNA from 1 species
UCAACUCAGUGAACGCGCACAUAUUAAGAAGAGAGGAAGAGCUUCAAGAUCUAUGGGACGAUGACGAAAGUUCCCAAGAAACAGAAUGAGCUAUUGAGUCUGUUGCACAAAUCACCACUGCACUUGAAACUGAACCAGCUGCUGAAUUUGCUCUAUCUGCUACUUUAUUUGGUGCACAAAACACUGCAGCACUUGCUGCUAUACCUGCUGAAUUUGUCACAAGAACUAGCUGCAAAAUUGUUGAACCAGCUACUACCCAAUUAGCACUUGUUGAAGCUUUUGCCUCCCAAGAGACAGCUCCUGCUGUAAAAAAUAUUGAAUUUGUUGCUAUAACACUUUCUACACAUACUGUCCAAACUUUUGAAGCAAAGACAGCAACUACUGUCGAACCUACCAAAGCCCCUGCUGCAGAAUCUGUACAAUCUGAUGCGUCUCUUGUUGCUGUCCAAGCUACUGAAACAAGGACAGCAACUGCUGUCAACAAUUCUGAACCAGCAACAUUCCCAGCACAGCCUGUUGCUGAACCAGCAGAAUCAGAAAUAUACACUGCAGAAAUAGCACCUGCUGUCCAAA